rnacentral:lncRNA from 1 species
UUUAGUCCAAUCUGAAAUACAGAGAGGACAAUUGUCCUUUGAGUUUAAUAGAGCUGUCUCUCUUUGAUAUUCACAGGGCUGGAGCAGCUCUAUGCAUUUGUUCUUGUUUUUGUCUUGACUUAAGGCUGUUUGAGAGAUGCUCAUGUCAGAGAGAGAAGAGCCAUGGCUGAUGUCUGUUGGACUUGAUGGUUUUAGAGUUCUUUUCCAACCCAAAUGAUCCCAUGAUUCAACUGUAUUUAUUGCCAGCGUUAGACAAGGGGUAACAGAAUUAGGAUUUAAAAAGUAAUCAUAAGAUACCUGGGGAAGCAGCAAAGCUAUGGACAUGGGGGAACUCAUCUUCACACCCACCUAUAAAUUCCUGCUCAUGUUCUCAGGUCGUGUACCUGCUGGGAAGUGGGAAAGUGAAGGUGCCUCUAGCAAUGGUAGGACAGAGCAGUGAGGUUUGGGACUUCUCCCCUCUGCAGGGCUUAGCAGCACGAUCACAGGGAACCUGUGAGACUGGCUUGCAAAUGCCCCAGCUGUCCUCCAUCUCUCACACCUGCACACAUUUAUCCCAUAAUUCUUCACUUCGUUUGCUGCUGCUGCUGCCGGUGGUGGGAGAGAAAUUCCGACCAGCAUCUCUGGGGUCGUCCUUUAUCGUCAGAGGAAAACGGUUCGACAAAGAUAAGCAGGAAAAUAACUUCUCGUAGAUUUGGUUGUUGGAUCAGCCAGCAGCUCUCCACAGAACAUGGAACUGCCAAGGCACUGCGGUGUCUGAUGUGUGUUAUGACAUAUGGGUACGUGGCUCCUCCAGAACUAUUCAUCAUGUUACAGUGCUUAACGUGCUUUUAAGUGUGGGUGUCUGUGGGUAAGAGGAUGGCUAAGGACUGUGGGCAUCAGGCUUUGGCUACUCCAGGGUCAGGCCCCAUGCAGGACCUGCUGAGCUCUGUGGUGCGCUCUGGCCCGCUGCAAGAUCUCAGGUUGAGUGCAGAUGGAGGAAAGCAUGGUCAGGGUACAUUUGGGUACAUUUUCAAUUUCCAUGGCUCCUUUUUUCCCUAUUCAGGAACUAAAGCAUAGACUUAGGGAAGUUGUGGCUUGGCUGUGAGGCUUAACUAGAAAGAAAAAAAUAGAUAGUUAAUUUGUCUUGAAUUCUUAAAAAAGCUAUG